rnacentral:lncRNA from 1 species
AUCUCUCACAGUUUCUGUGGGUCAGGAAUUCAGGAGCAGCUUAGCUGUAUAAUUCUGACUCAGAACCAUAGAGUCUCAAAAGAGGUUUGUUAUAAACUGAAUGUUUGUGUCCCCUCAAAAUUCGUAUAUUAAAUCCUCAUGCCCAAUGUGAUGGCAUUUGGAGGUGGGGCCUUGGAGAUGUGAUUAGGUCACAAAAGUGGAGUCCUCAUGAAUGGGGUUAGUGCCCUUAUAUAGGGGGGCCCAGAGAGCAUCAUCACCCCUUCUGCCAUCUGAGGACACGGCAACAAGAUGGCUGCCUAUGAACCAGGAAGAAGGGUCUCAUCAGACAUCAAAUCUGCCAGCACCUUGAUCUUGGACUUCCCAGGCUCCAGAACUGUGAGAACUGUUCUCUAUUUUCCUGAGGAGCGCUGGUUUUAGACUCCUGCUUGAUUAUACAUGCACAGAGACCUUCCUGCAUGAGCAUCAACCCAAUUAGGACCAGUGGGGGACAAGCGACUCUCUUGGCACAUACAAUACAUAGAAGAGGUAAAAACACAUCUGUUAUCUUCUGUUUAUCUGUGUUCCUCAGAACGCAAUGUUGGAGUUAAUGGAGAUGAGCACCAAACACAGGGACUUGAAGGCAAAUAGGAAAAAUAGCCCAAUUUUAUUGGUCACUUAUUACGUCUUAGGCAUAGUGUUAAGCAGCUUACAUGCUCACAUAAAUGUGUGUAUAUGAGGCAAUGUGGUUAUUAAACUUUUUUACAAAAAAGGAAACUGAGGCACAGAGAGAUGAAGUGCCACAGCCCAAAGUCCCACAGCUAGAAAGUGGUGGGGUGGAGAUUUGAUUGCUGGCUGUCUAUUCGAGGGCCUAUGCUUGGUAUCUCCCCAGUCAUUUGUCAUCGCAGUGAGAGGACAACGUUAGGGCCGAAAGCAUGUAUUCACCUGCCUGCAGGGAUUCCUGCAAACCAGAUCUCCAUCUCCCCAAAGUGCAGCCUGAGUCAGGGGGCUUCUGACAUGCCCAGUAUGUUUUACACUUCACAAAUGGACUUCCGGAAAAUAUUUAUUUAAAUCAGAACUCCUUUUAAGGAAAAAUAAUUUUUAUCUCUUUUUUUCCUCCAUAAAACAAGACAUUCUUAUUGCAGAAAACUGGAGCAUAAAGGUGUAGAGAAGAAUUAAAAGCCACGUGGUCCUGCCCUGCAGAAACAAACACUGUAAACACAAUGGGGUCCAAAUUGUGUCCCCUCGUCUGGGUGGUUAUUACACACACAUGUUUGAAACAAAAAUGGGCAAAGGUGAGAAUCUUAGGGAGCACGCUGCACAGCCCUGUUCUGAGGCGUAGGCGUGCCUGUGGGCUGAUGACAUCUUAAAUGAUCUCUUCGUAUGGGUGAUGGGCACCACUUCUUUCAAAGUAAGCAUGUGCUCACUUAAUAAGUUGACUCUCUUGCAUGACGUGACCCCUCUGGCAAGGCCAAGGUCACAGCCAGUGGGAAAGAGGAAGAAGGAAGGGUCCAGGGAGGAAGGAGCAUUAGGACUGGCACUUCAUGUCUCCAUGAAUGGGCGUCUGCCCCUCAUCCACGAGGGAAAGGAGCCCUGCAUGUUCCCCUGCAGCUGUGGUGCUCAGCUGGGCCCUGAGUGACUUGAGCAUGGUCUUCCUCCUGUCUGGGGGUGCCCGUGCUCGGAGGAGCUACAAGUGCCCUGGCAGCAGGGAAGCUGGAAUUCCUGUCCUGGCUGACUAGGGACAGUAAAUUUAACUACCGACCAUUGGAUAGGGUUUUGUAACGCUCUUGGGUAGUGCACACUAGAGUAGGAGCCCUCUCAUCCAGUAUAAUUGAGACCUUGAGACCUACAGUUGGAGGUUAAUCAAUACAUCAGUCCAAGCAGAGAAUUGGCUGGAGGGAGCAGAUAGAACCCUAAGAGCUGCCGAGAAUGUUUGGAAUGCCACCUCAGUCAUCA